AUCCGGCUGACAAGUCCCGAACAGGACGAAACGCGCGUCCUGAAU
rnacentral:hammerhead_ribozyme from 1 species